rnacentral:rRNA from 1 species
UACGUAGGGUCCGAGCGUUGUCCGGAAUUACUGGGCGUAAAGCGCGCGUAGGCGGCCCGCGAGGUGCCACGUGAAAGCCCCGGGCUCAACCCGGGAGGGUCGUGGCAAACCGGCGGGCUUGAGGCCGGUAGAGGUGGGUGGAACUCCUGGUGGAGUGGUGAAAUGCGUAGAGAUCAGGAAGAACACCCGUGGCGAAGGCGGUCUGCUGGGCAGUUGCUGACGCUGAGGCGCGACAGCGUGGGGAGCAAACAGG